UACGUAGGGGGCAAGCGUUGUCCGGAAUCACUGGGCUUAAAGCGUGUGUAGGCGGAGUUCUAAGUACCUUGUGAAAUCCCACGGCUUAACCGUGGAACUGCUUGGUAUACUGGUUCUCUUGAGCCACCUAGGGGCAACCGGAACAAACGGUGGAGCGGUGAAAUGCGUAGAUAUCGUUUGGAACGCCAAUGGUGAAAACAGGUUGCUGGGGGUGUGCUGACGCUGAGACACGAAAGCCAGGGGAGCGAACGGG
rnacentral:rRNA from 1 species